CGCUGGGGGGCUUACACAUGCAAGUCGAACGGGAUCCUGCAGCUUGCUUGCGGGGUGAGAGUGGCGAACGGGUGAGUAUGCGUGACCAACCUGCCCCAUGCUCCGGAAUAGCUCCUGGAAACGGGUGGUAAUGCCGGAUGUGCCGGGCUCCUGCAUGGGGGUCCGGGAAAGCUCUGGCGGCGUGGGAUGGGGUCGCGUCCUAUCAGCUUGUUGGCGGGGUGAGGGCCCACCAAGGCUUCGACGGGUAGCCGGCCUGAGAGGGCGACCGGCCACAUUGGGACUGAGAUACGGCCCAGACUCCUACGGGAGGCAGCAGUGGGGAAUAUUGCACAAUGGGCGCAAGCCUGAUGCAGCGACGCCGCGUGCGGGAUGGAGGCCUUCGGGUUGUAAACCGCUUUUGUUUGGGAGCAAAGCCUUCGGGGGUGAGUGUACCUUUCCAAUAGCCACCGGGUAACUAC
rnacentral:rRNA from 1 species